ensembl:lncRNA
UGUGGAGCCCUGAAGAGAAUAAUGAAACACUAAACAGGCUGAACAGCAAAAAGAGCAGCCAAGUCAAUGAGCAGUCGGACGGAUUCCACAAACAUCUGCAGCAGAAGUCCAACCGAUGAGAAACAGCUGUGGAAGCAGACACCUGCACAACUACAGGUCUGCUGUUCAGGAAGUCCAGCACCCGACCUGACAGUAAACCGGCCAGAAUGAUGAGAGCUACUGCAGGAUUCAGACUCACCGGGGUCGAGGUAUUUGCCCAGGAACGUGGUGACAACUGAUCUGACACUUGGACCUACAGUUCCAGCCUCUGAGGUCUGAUAGAUGUAGCUCCACAGAAAUGGUUCUGUUAUUGAACACGACACUUGCCAGACAAAGGAGGUUUUUCCAUAUUAUUGGUGCUGGUUGUUGCACAUUCGUGACGUUUCUUAUUACAUCUCAGAU